rnacentral:rRNA from 1 species
GCAAGUCGAACGAACUCUUCGGAGUUAGUGGCGGACGGGUGAGUAACACGUGGGAACGUGCCUUUAGGUUCGGAAUAACUCAGGGAAACUUGUGCUAAUACCGAAUGUGCCCUUCGGGGGAAAGAUUUAUCGCCUUUAGAGCGGCCCGCGUCUGAUUAGCUAGUUGGUGAGGUAAAGGCUCACCAAGGCGACGAUCAGUAGCUGGUCUGAGAGGAUGAUCAGCCACAUUGGGACUGAGACACGGCCCAAACUCCUACGGGAGGCAGCAGUGGGGAAUCUUGCGCAAUGGGCGAAAGCCUGACGCAGCCAUGCCGCGUGAAUGAUGAAGGUCUUAGGAUUGUAAAAUUCUUUCACCGGGGACGAUAAUGACGGUACCCGGAGAAGAAGCCCCGGCUAACUUCGUGCCAGCAGCCGCGGUAAUACGAAGGGGGCUAGCGUUGCUCGGAAUUACUGGGCGUAAAGGGAGCGUAGGCGGACAUUUAAGUCAGGGGUGAAAUCCCGGGGCUCAACCUCGGAAUUGCCUUUGAUACUGGGUGUCUUGAGUAUGAGAGAGGUGUGUGGAACUCCGAGUGUAGAGGUGAAAUUCGUAGAUAUUCGGAAGAACACCAGUGGCGAAGGCGACACACUGGCUCAUUACUGACGCUGAGGCUCGAAAGCGUGG